GUCACGGUAGCUCAGGUGGUUAGAGCACCGGCCUAUUGAGCCGAGGGUCGUGGGUUCGAAUCCCGCUCGUGACA
rnacentral:tRNA from 1 species